rnacentral:rRNA from 1 species
AGUGGCGGACGGGUGAGUAACGCGUGAGAAUCUGCCUUGGGGUCGGGGACAACCACUGGAAACGGUGGCUAAUACCGGAUAAGCCGAUUGGUGAAAGAUUUAUUGCCCGAAGAGGAGCUCGCGUCUGAUUAGCUAGUUGGUGAGGUAAGAGCUCACCAAGGCAGCGAUCAGUAGCUGGUCUGAGAGGACGAUCAGCCACACUGGGACUGAGACACGGCCCAGACUCUUACGGGAGGCAGCAGUGGGGAAUUUUCCGCAAUGGGCGAAAGCCUGACGGAGCAAGACCGCGUGAGGGAGGAAGGCUCUUGGGUUGUAAACCUCUUUUCUCAGGGAAGAAGCUCUGACGGUACCUGAGGAAUCAGCCUCGGCUAACUCCGUGCCAGCAGCCGCGGUAAUACGGAGGAGGCAAGCGUUAUCCGGAAUUAUUGGGCGUAAAGCGUCCGCAGGUGGCGAUUCAAGUCUGCUGUCAAAGCACGGGGCUUAACUCCGUAAAGGCAGUGGAAACUGAAUAGCUAGAGUGCCGUAGGGGUAGAGGGAAUUCCCGGUGUAGCGGUGAAAUGCGUAGAGAUCGGGAAGAACAUCGGUGGCGAAAGCGCUCUACUGGACGGCAACUGACACUCAGGGACGAAAGCUAGGGGAGCGAAUGGGAUUAGAUACCCC